rnacentral:lncRNA from 1 species
AUAAUAAGAAGCAGAUAAACAAACAUAUUUGUAUUGUCACUGCUGAGCAAAAAAACAUUUGUUUUGUCCUUGUGUAGUUAGUCAAAGUUUCCAAGUGAGCAAUGGCAUCUUGUCACCAUUGGUUUCCUCAAAACAAUGUUUUUUUAUUUUUUACUUUUCUCUCAGUUUUAUCUGUGAUCACCAUUUUUCCAUAAACUUCUCAGGUGAGGGGCAGAGACACCAUGGUUGCAGAGGUACUAAUUCUGUGCUUUCCUUGUAUUUUUUGCACCAAUAAGAACAAAUGUUUUCUCACAUUGUGCCAACUUUCUCCAUUUUCUUCUGGCAUUCAGCAUCUCUUAUCCCCAUGUGCUACUUUUUCAGCUGGUUUAUCAGUUGUUUCACUGUUUAGUCAGUGAAAGAUUAAGACAUCCUUUGGGGUCUGUUUAAUGCAAUUAGAUCCACAAAUGUCAAUACGUUUGGACUUUUAAGUGUUCAACUGGAAUGAAACUGAAUCUUUGUUCUAUCUUGUUAGAUUAUUACUAUUCUUGAUUGCCAGAUUUUAUGAGAUGUGAAUUGGAAUCCUACUACUAUGUUAGUUCGUUGAUGGUUCAAGGAUUUGACACAAAAUGUACUUGAAGCGAUCCAAAUUGUCUUAGAAUAUGGAUUUGGGCUCAUACUUUAGAAUUCUUGACAUUACCGAACACAGUAGUGACAUUCGAAUCCAAAGAGGUAAUGAUGAUGAUGAUGAUUAGAGGGAGUGAAUACAUCAGAAGCAGCAUAAACCCAUGAAGUAACCACUUGCCUGUAGUUUGUUACCUAAAAGACAAUUAUCAGAAUUUGUUAUUUUCAUUUCCUGCACUAACUAACUGAUCUCUAGUGAGCGGUUAUCAUCACUUGUAAUAAUCUAUAUAUAGAACUAAUACAUUAAUUGAAUAAAGGAAGAGAAGAAUUAUGAAAGUACCUGUUAGUGUAGAGUAACAUAGUAUAGCUUAAUCCCAUUCGUAACACAUGACAUAUAGGAUUAGUUGAUCCUGUCGAAUCCAGUAGUUGUAAUCUUGAUGAUUAGAGACUGGGCACGUGUUGGUGCCAUCGACAAAUCCCAUCAAGUUGUAGUCUACAAGGAGAGCAUUGAUUUGCACUCUCCAGGUCGGGUAAUUCGACCCAGUCAGCUUGAUAGAGGAUUGAGUAUAUUGAGGACAACUAUUGAUUGAGAGUUGUCAAGGGGUAUGAUAACGUUAUUAGCUGAGAAGUCAUGUUUGUGUCUGUUGGAUCAGUGUUGUUAAGCAAAAGUUGCAGAUACCAUGUAAAAAGUUUAGAUAUAGUAGGAUUUCAAUGAUAAUUUAUUCAUGGUGCUAAUGGGGUCAUAUAUAUAUACACUUGAAUGAAAUUGAAAUCAUUUUUAAUUCAUUUGUUUCUAAGUAUGAAGAAUACAUUUGAACUUUAAUUUUACUAUUGUUAUUUUUAAUUCAAAUAAAUUUGUUUUAUCUAGGAUAAUUAGAUAAUCAUUAUUUCUAAUUAUUUAAAAUAAAUUUGAACUUUAAUUUUACUGUUGUUAUUUUUAAUUUAAAUAAAUUCAAAUUGUUGUUACGCACUAAUAAAUCGGUCCAAAGGCAGUUUGGGGGAAAGGAAAGAGAGAGAAGAAAUAUUGAAGCCAGAGAGAAAUAAAAGACAUGUUUCUUGUCUCCAAUACAAGAACCGAAACUUUAGCUUUUGUGCUGUUAGGUUUUGUUGCUGGCUGCUUCUUCAACAUCCUUAGUUCUGUUUUGUAAAAAACAAUGUCUGUACAAAAUAAUAUUCCAAACUGCGACUUAAUAUAGUCUCUUUAGAUGCUUUUCUAUUAUAUUUUCUAUUAAGAUUCAGUUAUGCAUCGAAGAAGUUAGUUACUCAUCUCAAAUUGUUACUAAUAUGUGCUCCCCUUAACUAUUGGCUUUGCCUUGUGAUUUGCAUCUGCAUAGUUUAAUUAGAGGCUUGUAUGAGUCAGUUCAAUGUAGACUCAUUUAAAUGAGAAUCUAUAUCGAUUAAUUUGUUUAAUUUUGUGAACAUAAGUGGAUUAGUGCAUAAUGGACUCGUUGAUUCACACACUAAGUCGCUAACCAAUAGCCAAGCUCUCUCUCUCUCUCUCUUUUUUAUUAUCAUUAUUUAACAUAUUUUACUUAUAUUAUUAAAACUUAUUAAACUAAUAAUUACUUUUAAAUUUUAUCUUUUAUUCACAAAUCAUAACUUUCUCAAUUUUUUUGAACGUUCCUGUUUACAUAGUUUUUUCAAAUUCAAAUCUCAUUACAUGUGCUCUUAAGUUAUUUUUAUAUUAAUUUUUUUUCAAUCACGUAUUCCUAUUCAUUUGCAAUCACAAGUUUUAGGCACCAUGAACUUGGACAUAAUACCUCAAAAAAAAUCCCUAUAAGGUGGAUUACUUGUUUUAUUUUUUGCACUUGAACCGAUAAACGUUCUUUGUUGCUUACUGUUUCUUGAUAACAAAGACACCUAAACAAAGGGCUGUUGUUGACUUGGACACCAAUUACUCAGAACAUCUUCUUGUUUUUGUUCAUUAUUUCUUCCUAACCUCUCUCCCCAACUUAUGUCAUUAAUAUCAUAUAAGCCACCCAAAUAUUUCCUUUUAUGUCUUACAAACACAAACCAUUAGAUGACAUUAAACUAAGCGGCUCCAGUACUGGAAUAGUAUACAGCAGUAUAUACACAAGCUUCUUUUGCCCCUUUGUCUGCUGCUAUUAUUUUUAACUAGGUGUUUACUGUUUAAUUCAUGAGGCUCUAGCACUUAAAUAGUAAACACCAGUAUAAUCAUCUAACACUGCUAGAGUAAAGUAAAACAAACAAAGUAAUAUAAGUAUUCAUAAAAUAAGAUUGUACCUAGUCUAAUCAAAUAAUAAAAAUUAAUUGUAAAGUCAUAUGUGUGUAAUAUUAUUAUUUUUAUAUUAAGUUGUAAGAAGAUGCUUUUUCUAGCCCAAGUUGAAUUUUCUAACAGCAUCGAUCCUGAAGGAUCAAGUUGCAUAAAAUGUUUUGCAGCACCUUAUUUGUUCUAUCUCCUGAACAUAGUGAUGGGGAGAAGGCAAUAUACCAGAAUUACAUCAUGAAGAAACUAUUGCGGCUAAAGUUGAUGUUAUGAUGCCCUUUAAUAUAAUAGAUUUAAACUUGACUUAAACUUAAUAUAAUAUAUAGUCUAAAAAGGACUUUAGACAUUAACAGUCUUAAUUCUUCAAGGAUCAAGGAGGCUUGUUAAUCAUUUAAAAUUGCUGCUGUCCUUGUGAAAGUGUACAAUUGCUGCUGUUCUUGUAUCCAAUUCUUAUGAACAAAUGAUUUUCGGAUAUCAGGUCGUUCCUUUUCAAAUAGUGUCAUCAAUCUUGGCAUCCAGAAUCAAUAUGCAGAUGCCCAAAGCCAACUUGGAUUUUAGUUUCAAGUUUUGACAGAGCAGUGUUAUUAAUGUUUAAUUUAAUCAUUUUGUAUUUUACAGCCUACUAUUGCAGAUUAAUCAUCUCAGAUUGAGCAUUCAAUGUGGUUAUCUUUAUCUCCUUAAUAUACAUGUAUGUCCCAUCACUGACAAGGAAGGAGAUGCAGCCUUAGGAAAUGGUGGCCUUACUCAUCUAUCAGCAUGCAUGGGGGUAUGAUGUGACCUUCUGAUUUGUUGUAAAAAAUUUCUAGUAGGUUUGAAACAUUAAUGUUUUCAGGUUCUUCAAUGAAAAUUCUAAACAAAGAUAUAGGCUGUGAGCUUUAAAGUUGGCCUUAUAAGCUCAAACUUGAGUUUGAUUUUAUGUUCUUAGAGGGGCAGCGCGCAGGUGAUAAAAAACAAUAACUUUCUUUCA